CGGGGGGGCGCUGCGGCCUGCUGGACCGGCCGGCGCCCGCGCGUCCGGCGAGCUGCGGGCAGGGGCGCGGCUCCCGGCCUCCGCGCGGGGUGGGCGGCGAUUUGCUGCAUGUAAAGAAUAACAGCUGUGGUUUGUGGUUUUUGUUUUGUUAUAGCAAAAAUAGCUCACGCUCUUUGAUGAUACUGAAAAAUACAGGAAACUAAAAAUCACCUUUCACCCCAGCACCUGGUGAGAUGAGCAGGUCUAGGAGAAAACAUGGGAGACUUUCCCUAUAGGAGCCCAUUCUUGGUCCGUAAUGGGUAUAUGGUCCCUGUGCAAAGAUUUUUAUUUAUUUGAGAGGGAGCAAGAGAGAAUGAUGGGGGAGAGUCAGAGGGAGAAGCAGACUCCCCGCUGAGCAGGGAGCCCCGACGACGAUGAACUCAAUCCUGGGACUCCAGGAUCAUGACCUGAAUAGAAGGCAGUCGCUUAACCAACUGAGCCACCCAGUUGCCCAGGACUGUCUCCAGACUAUCUCCAGAAUAUCCAAGAGACUCAUAUUGGUGGCUGCCUCUAGGCAGGGGUCCUGAAGGUUUGUGUAGAGUGUGAGACUAGACUUUUCAAUGCUGUUUUGCACCAUUUGAAUUUUCUCCUUUGUUUGAAUUUUUGGUACCAUGACCCAAUUUUUAAAAACCACUUAACAUGUCACAAAGCAUGACAGAAAAGGCACUAGAAAAGUGAGUCCCACAAAGAAGAUGCUGUGCAGCAAUAGGCUUAGAGAAGCAGAAGGAUUUUGCAAACAUGUGAUAAUUUUCUCUUCUUUUCUGCCAGGGCACUGGGGUCACACCAGACCCGGUUAAGCAAGCCCAGAGCUUGAUAUGUACAAUCCAGAGCCCGGGUAUUCCUUUUAUGGGGAGUGGAGCUUUCCCCAGCCCAGAACUAUCAUUGUAACCAAGACCUGGCUGGAUGGGAGGAGUCAAUCCUCAUGAUAUGAUUGCAAAUAUUUAUUUUAGCUUAUUUUUGUUGAUUAGCUUUUUUUUUUUUUUAAAGAUUUUCUUUAUGUAUUUGAGAGAGAGAGAGAGAGAGCAUGAGAGGGGAGAAGGUCAGAGGGAGAAGCAGACUCCCCAUGGAACUGGGAACCUGGCAUGGGACUCAAUCUGGGGACUCAAGGAUCAUGACCUGGGCCUAAGGCAGUGGCUUAACCAACUGCACCUUUUCUUACUUUCUCUCUCUCUCUUUUCUUUCAUUGAGCACAUAAUCUGUGAUCUAAUUGGCAAAAGGAAAUUCAGGAAGAUACACAGAGCUGAUGUAUGGAAUGCUCUGGAAUGACCCCUCUGUGAUCCUGGCCUCUCAUUGGACCAGAGGUGACCUGAGUGUGGAAUUUGAGAGGAUUCAAGAGUGUAAUACUCCCCUUCCUUUUGUUGGUCACACACACACACACACACACACACACACACCUCCCCACACCCUGUAGAAGUGUGUGUGUGUGUGUUGGAUGGGAGUAAUCCCUGCUGGGUUGAUUUCGAAAAUGCAAUCCCUCAGUUUUCUUUCUGGUCUUCGAGGUGGGAAGCCUCACAGACGGUCUCCUCGAUCACUCACCCUGCUCCCCAGGACAGUCACAUCCUGGGCUGUGAGUAGUGGCUGGAGGUUGGGAGCUGGACCCUUGAUCCAGUUGGAUGAACCAGGAACGUACCUGAAACCUCAGCCCUGUCCAGCAGGAAGCACAGCACCCGACACAUCACAGAAGCUGAACAAAAUGUUGGGAGAAGGAAAUGUCAUGAUCUGCAUGCUCAGUUUAAACUAGUGACAGAUUCAGUUUCCCUGGCCAUCAAAGAAACGUCAACUAAAUAGUGUGAUGCCAUUGACCUCACUUUAGCCAAACCCUCAGUGGGCAUGAGAUAGUUCCAUAACUUGGUUCUGAGGUGGAAGCCACCUUCUUUGGUUCCAAUCGCCAAAACCUAUGGCUAGGUUAGCCAUUAGAGCCUCCUCUGAGGCUGUUGGAGAAAACUGGACCCCUUGGGGUCACAGAUAACCUGGGGCCCCAUGAGUUACACGGGACCCCCACCUCCGGUCUACCUCCUGUGAGGGUUGGGGGAGGCUCCGCUUGGCAAUUACGCUUCACCGACACUCCGCGCUGCGGGUCGAGCGGGCAGGAAGGCUUCAGGAGCUCCUGGGGUGAAUUUCUGCUUUGCCACUUGCCCCGUGUGACCUUGAACGAGCUAAUGAAGUUUUCCACGCCUCAGCGCCCGGGUUGGUAGAGUGGCGAACACAGUCCGCACCGCGUAGCCGUGUCUGGCAAACUCCCGGAGUGGAGCCUACUGGUGGGUGUAGGUGAUGUUAAAUCGGGGGGG